rnacentral:tRNA from 1 species
UGAGGUGGGAUUUUCACAAAAGAGCUGCUAACUCCUCUACCCAGGUUUAAUCGUCCUGGCCUCCU